GUUAGUUGGAAGUGGAAGAGUCAGCGUUCAGCCAUUGCAAAUUGCAACUCUGUUCCAAAGACGCGUUGUGCGCGAAUGAUUUAUUUCACUUAAUUAUUUAAUUAAUAAAAUUAUUAUUUUUUCGUUUAAUAUCGUUAGAAUCAUCUAAUAAAACAGUGAUAAUCAUGAGCGAUCGACCAAGUAAUGGUGAAUUUAAGUAUAAAAGGGAUGAAAACUCUGAUUCGGAGGCAAAAACAUCGUCGGAAAAGGAACGUGAUGAAAAGAAGUAUCAAGUUGACAAAGCCGGAGAAUAUGUUCGAGAACUUUUACAAGAAAAAGUUGAAUUGGAUUCGCAGAAAUGGCCUAAUGCAACGAGACUAAUUGAUCAAGAAAUUCAGAAAACUCAAGCUAUUGGCAAACCAGUAAGGGAUCCGAAAUAUGUGGAUAUUUAUCGUGAAAAACCAAUUCGAGUUUCGGUUAAAGUAUUGGUACCCGUUCGGGAACAUCCAAAGUUUAAUUUUGUUGGAAAAUUAUUGGGACCGAAAGGUAAUUCUAUGAAACGUUUGCAAGAAGAAACAAUGUGUAAAAUGGCAGUAUUAGGAAGAGGAUCCAUGAAAGAUCGUCAAAAAGAAGAAGAAUAUCGUAUGUCUCUGGAUCCGAAAUAUGCUCAUCUUUCGGAUGAUUUACAUGUUGAAAUAACAGCACUCGCACCUCCGGCGGAAGCUUAUGCUCGUAUUGCAUUUGCGUUAGCCGAAGUUCGGAAAUAUUUGAUCCCAGAUAAUAAUGACAAUAUACGCCAAGAGCAAAUGCGCGAAAUGGAAAUGAACAUGGCAGAUGAUCCAACGAGUAAUGACGAUAGAAGGCCUUCUGUCAGAGGUGUACCAGGUGCUGGUGGAAUAUUAAGACCAUCCGCAAGGCCAACAAUGCAACGAUCUUCGCGAGCGGCAAUACUUCCACCGCCUUCUAGUCGGGGGCCAAUCACUCGUCCUGUAUCAGCAAAAAGUAAAGUUUUUUCUAUUUUAGAUCGAGCAAGAGUCGCCAUGGAUCAGAGUUAUGGUUAUGAAACUGCUACUCCGCCUCCAAGUAACCGUGUGGGAACUCAUCAUGAUUAUGAUUAUCACACAUCAACGAGCAGUAGUAGCCGAUAUGGAGACCGACAUUAUACAUCAACAUCAGGAGAUGAUAUGUAUCCUUCCUCGAGGUAUGCAACUUAUGAAUACGAAGAUGAUACUGUGCCACACUCUUCUCACAAUUACUACGAAACAUCAGAAUAUCCAGGUGUAUAGAAGAAUACAGAAGAUUGUGUGGGAACACGUUUUCAUGGAUUGAAAUAUUUUAAUCUCCUGUUUCUCUAUUCAGUGGAGUUUGAAGUGCCUUGAAAUCAUGCAAUGGGAUGAACAGUCUAUGCACAAUUAUAAUUACGUCAGUUGAAGAAAUAAUGGAAUUUAACUAUUAAACAGUGACUGAUGGCGCAAGUUGCAGUUCGCUACCAAAAUGGCGUCUGUAAACGCGGUGUGUACGAAGUAAAUUGAAAUAUUUAUUCUGUUUUCUGUGUAAACGGUUUUAAUUAAUAUUUAAGAAUAGUUUAGAAGUAUCUAGAAAAUAAGUGGAGAUAAAGUGUAAAUUUUUAUUGUGUAUCAAGAUGAUUAGCGAAGUGAGAAUAACGUUUAACUUGCAUGAUUUGGCGCGCUCCAUCCAUUUACAGCUAUAGUUCCAAGUUCCGAGAAAAAUCCAUUUCGUUCAUAUACCUUGGAGAAACGUUAAACUGGUAAACUGGAGCACGUCGAGGAGUGACGAAGGAGCCAAGAUUCGUGGGAGUGGAAAAUUGUAUGAAGGGUUGGACGCGGAUUUUUGUAUACGUAUCCCUUAUUAUUCCAAUAAAUUUUUGAUCGGCAAGAAUAAAUUUCGACGAAUUGCGAAGGUUGUAACAGCUGAAGGGAAUCUAAAAUUCUAAAGGAAGAACCAAUCGAGGACGUGCAAAUGGCAAUCGCCGACCGUUAAGACAGGUAUACAAGGUAUGGUUUUGAAGAGAAUCAUCUUGAAGCAUGACAAUGAAGUAUACUUUCAAGCUUUCACAAUGGAGAAACCUUCUGGCGAAAGGAUCUCUCCUCGCCGUCCGUGUCUCUCUUGCGCUUGCCACCGUCCCUGUGCUCGUUCAGCGUGGUCUCGUGCUCGUCCAACAUGUCGGUGACCAUCAGUUCCGACUCGACGCUCGUCGGGGAUACGACUUCGUCCAGCGGUGACAUGGUCGACCUGUCGGCUUCACCGGCCUCCAGCACGGACAUGAUGGGCCACUUUUCCCGCCGCGGAUGCCUCCUCGAUGGUCGUCACGAUCACCAGAAUUCGCGGACAGUCGGGCCUCGUCUUCGACAAGACGAGAGGUGGCAACGAGGCACCUCCACUCUUCAAAAUUUGUCUCCUCCAUCCUUCUACCAUCCAUCGUUCCUCGCCACAAUUUUAAAAAACAAGAAAAAUGGUUCUUCGAGAAACAAAUCGUACAACCGCUUUUCUCGAAAGCAGGAAAAAAGAAAAGUGCACGACCUCCUCCCAUACCCAAUCUCAUAUCCUUCCUCCUCCUCGUCCCUCAAACGAAGACAUUCCACUGUGAAAUCGUAAAUACACAAAGCCAAUUCCCUCCCCGCUUUAUCGUUGGAGCGCAAUCGCGAAACGAUCUCGGAUCGAUACGGCGAGCAGCAGGCCGAGUGGGACGAGAACGAAGAAAAAGAAAUCUCGCGCGCUUGAGCAAAGAAGAGAGGAAAAAGCAAAACGAGGCGUAUUCGAUUCUACUCGGCCAUUAGGGCACACAGCACACAGCAUCCACGUGAGCCCCAUUCCUGGAGCCAGGCCUGGUUGCGGUUUCGCGAUCGAGGAGCGGUGGAUCCACGCCGAUCGGAAUCUCGUUCCAACGAUAUCGUAUUCGUUUCGUGAAGGCUGCGUUAUCCGCCAUUCUUCUCCCUCCAACCGAUAUUCCAUUCCGUUCUCAAUUUCAAAGACCGGCGCGAUCGUCCAACUCGCAGCAUCGAAUCGAGCUCGAAGGAACGAUAGAUCACGCGGCUACAUCCUCUGGAUCGGAGGACGACGACUUCGUGAUCCCGAGAAUGAGAUCCAAAGCUGUUAUGAGGAGUCCCGAGACUAGAAAACGGGCUUGUUACGCGGCCGAGUUAUGGGGGACGCGUUACGUGAGAGAGAUUUGGAGUAUAUUGGAUAUAUGAAGAGAACGUUGGUGAAACGGUGAGACGACUGAUAAGCGGUCCGACACGGAUAAGGAAGAUCAAGAAAGUGAUCGACAAGAUAGAUAUAAAAAA